rnacentral:rRNA from 1 species
UGGGGGAUAUUGCACAAUGGGGGGAACCCUGAUGCAGCGACGCCGCGUGGGUGAAGGAGCGUUUCGGCGCGUAAAGCCCUAUCGGCAGGGAAGUAAGGAGGACGGUACCUGACUAAGAAGCCCCGGCUAACUAACGUGCC